UAAAAAAAAAAUCUAAAAACGCUUCUUCGGUGAAAGCAAACGACUUAUUCAAAAACGCUUCUUCGGUGAAAGCUAACGACUUAUUCAAAAACGCUUCUUCGGAGAAGUACCUUUUUAGCGAUUGAACAGAAGCUAUGGAAACCUAGAAACGCUCCACCGAUUGAAGAUUCACAACCAUCGAUUGAAGAUUCACAACCACAAAAGUUAUUCUCGCCGUUCUUCUAAGUACAUAGACGACGGUGAUUCUCGCCGUUCUUCUCGCACGCUCUAUUAAUUGAAUUUUUGCUGUUUCGUUUUGUUUAAUUGUGGUUUAUUUUUGAAGUGUUUGUUUACUGGUUAUGCUGAAUGCUGCUGAUAUUUCUUUUUGUGGCAGAUUUAGGGUUUAUUAGAAUGGUUUUUGUAUGCUGCGUUAGAAAUUAGUACAGCACAGAAUGAUUGUAGUUCAAACUCUAGUAAGCAAUGAACUCCAACAUCUAUCCUUCAUGCCCUGCAUUGCUGAUUGAAGGAAUUCUAAGCCAAAAUCAUGGUUUAUGUGUCUUUUAGGUUCCUUAAUUAUAUAUGGUCACUAUAAUUGUGAAUGAUAUCUUAAAAUAGGAGUUAUAGUCAUUGCAUAAAUAUGAGUUGAAUUUGGUGAUAAGGCAUAUAUAUGGUUGUAUGUGCAUAUUAAAUUUAACUGAUGGUGAUAAGGCGUAUACUAAUAUACUAGUAUGGACUUAGGUGCAAGAGGGAGCUCUGGAGGGUUCAGUACGCUCUUAGUCGGAUCUGUAACAAUGAAAGGAAUCUGUUGACACUGGAUGAGAAGAACCCUCAUCGGAUCUUUGAAGGUGAAGCACUUUUGAGGAGAAUGUUUCAAUAUGGUCUUCUUGAUGAAACUCAGAAACCAUAUCUUUUACUUAAUCUUUGUUUUUUGAGGCUCGCUACUGCUAGGAGUGAUAACAGUUUUUGGGGUGAAUCUUCCUAAAUAUUUUCAAGCUUGUAGUCUAAAUGAAGACCGUGGCGGAACACGAAUCAUCCACUGUUUCUGACAGUAGCUUCAGUACCUCUUCACACACUGACACAAAGGCUUGUUAAAUUAAUUAAUUCUAUUGGAUGUGGAUUAAUUAAUUAAAGAGAUUAGUUUCAUUACGGUGCAGAAGUUAAAUAAGGCGGAGGACCAGUACAGAGAAUGGAGAGAGCUACUGCAGAAGUGUGAUAAAUUACUAAACAGUAUAGCGGAAAUAACUGAGUUACAACAACCGAGUCCCGUAUUAGUUCUUGACUCGUAGUUUACAAAGACGACUCGUCGUGCUCACCAUCUCUAGUAAUGAAAAGAUGCAUUGAAUAUAAAGAUGGGGCAUUAUGCUGCUGUAUGGAACUUUAGAGCAGCAGCUGAACUUACAAAGGGCUGGAAUGGAAUUGAUCAAGUUGUACUUCGGACGCCACAAGGUACUUUGGCACGGGUUGUACUCACGAAAGAUGUUAAGGAUGACUUGGCCGAAGAACUAGAUGCCAUUUUUAUAGUUUUUUACAUAGCGGUCAUUAUCUUCAGGGCGUUGCUGUAGAAGAGAUCAAUCGUAUAUGCAGAUUGGCUGGUUGUCUUCUUGCAGUUCUUUAUGGAGUCAACAUCAACAGUUAUUGCACAUGGUGUCCAUAUGUCGACUGUAUCCCUUUCACAAGCUGGCACUGCAAAGACAAAGAAACCUUUUGUGAGCAUUACAUUGUAUCAAAAUCUAUAUUUUGAGGGACUAUAUCUUCUUCAUCAAUUGCAAGUGCCAUGAUUAAUCUUAUUCCAGGAGUUACAUUUGUAAUAGCAGCCUUUGUAGGCUUGAUAGGUGCAAUUGGAGUAAUUAUUGGUCUGUAUAUUGUGCUUUGGGGUAAAGCUGGAGAUAUAAUUGAUGUCAAAGAGCCGCCAAAAAAGUCCAAGAAAAAGAAUAUAUCAACUCAACAUGAAGUCACUCAACCUCAACUCACUCAACCCCAACGCAAUCAACCAACCUAUUCCGUAUCUCACCCUUUAUCAAACACUUGGUAGCACGCACACUUGGUUUCGACAUUGUUUGCGUUCUGAAAUUUUCCCUAAAUUAUGUGUUUUCAAAUUCAAUUUUCUGCAAUUAGAAUAUGAGUGUUCGUAUGCCUAAUUUUGACAUGAGUUGUUAAUGAAUGUUUUAGCUGGAUGAGAACUUGUUGUUUGUGCUAGAUAUUAUUUAGGUGGGAUUAUGUAUGUGAUUGUAGAUAUUAAUACCAAAUAUUAUUUCUAGUAUAAACCUUUGUAUAUUGAUAGAGAA